CUUGCAGAUGACGGAUAUAAGAUUCAGGACGUUCUCCUGGAAUUGGUUGGGCGACGAACUGUCCCACAAGUGUUUGUAAAUGGGAAGCAUAUUGGCGGUUCUGAUGAUCUGCAAGCUGCUGUUAAAAGUGGUAAACUGCAGAGCCUUCUCAGUAAAGCUUGAUGCAAUUCGUGUAGUAAGAGACGUCUACAGCUACUGUUGACAUGGUCCGCAGCCAUUCAGGUCAAUUUGGCCAUCAUCAUCAUCUCUAUCAUCACAUUCAUGACUCUAUUAUAAGGAUUUAUUUGUGUUUUUGUCAAAGCUUUCACCGCAUCUUUAGCUGACUUGUUGGUAUCGGCGUCUUAAUUCCUUCUCUGUUUAGUAACCGUGGAUUCGUGUUGAAAACAAAACCGGAUUUUCUCC